CCAGACUCCUACGGGAGGCAGCAGUGGGGGAUAUUGGACAAUGGGGGGAACCCUGAUCCAGCGACGCCGCGUGAGCGAAGAAGUAUUUCGGUAUGUAAAGCUCUGUCAGCAGGGAAGAAAGCAAUGACGGUACCUGACCAAGAAGCCCCGGCUAACUACGUGCCAGCAGCCGCGGUAAUACGUAGGGGGCAAGCGUUAUCCGGAAUUACUGGGUGUAAAGGGAGCGUAGACGGCUGUGCAAGUCUGGAGUGAAAGGCGGGGGCCCAACCCCCGGACUGCUCUGGAAACUGUAUGGCUGGAGUGCAGGAGAGGUAAGCGGAAUUCCUAGUGUAGCGGUGAAAUGCGUAGAUAUUAGGAGGAACACCAGUGGCGAAGGCGGCUUACUGGACAGUAACUGACGUUGAGGCCCGAAAGCGUGGGGAGCAAACAGGAUUAGAUACCCGAGUAAU
rnacentral:rRNA from 1 species